UACAGAGACUGCAAGCGUUAUUCGGAUUCACUGGGCGUAAAGGGUGCGCAGGCGGCCGGGUGUGUCAGAUGUGAAAUCCCGAGGCUUAACCUCGGAACUGCGUCUGAAACUACUCGGCUAGAGUACUGGAGAGGGAAACGGAAUUCACGGUGUAGCAGUGAAAUGCGUAGAUAUCGUGAGGAACACCAGAGGCGAAGGCGGUUUCCUGGACAGUUACUGACGCUCAGGCACGAAAGCAUGGGGGAGCAAACAGG
rnacentral:rRNA from 1 species